GAAAUGCGAUAAGUAAUGUGAAUUGCAGAAUUCAGUGAAUCAUCGAAUCUUUGAACGCAUCUUGCGCUCCUUGGUAUUCCUUGGAGCAUGCCUGUUUGAGUAUCAUGAAAUCUUCAAAGUAAAUCUUUUGUUAACUCAAUUGGUUUCUACUUUGGUAUUGGAGGUCUUUGCAGCUUCACACCUGCUCCUCUUUGUUCAUUAGCUGGAUCUCAGUGUUAUGCUUGGUUCCACUCGGCGUGAUAAGUUAUCUAUCGCUGAGGACACUGUAAAAGGUGGCCAAGGUAAAUGCAGAUGAACCGCUUCUAAUAGUCCAUUGACUUGGACAAUACCUUUAUGAUCUGAUCUCAAAUCAGGUAGGACUACCCGCUGAACUUAAGC
rnacentral:misc_RNA from 1 species